GACGAACGCUGGCGGCGUGCUUAACACAUGCAAGUCGAACGGAAAGGCCCUGCUUUUGUGGGGUGCUCGAGUGGCGAACGGGUGAGUAACACGUGAGUAACCUGCCCUUGACUUUGGGAUAACUUCAGGAAACUGGGGCUAAUACCGGAUAGGAGCUCCUGCUGCAUGGUGGGGGUUGGAAAGUUUCGGCGGUUGGGGAUGGACUCGCGGCUUAUCAGCUUGUUGGUUGGGUAGUGGCUUACCAAGGCUUUGACGGGUAGCCGGCCUGAGAGGGUGACCGGCCACAUUGGGACUGAGAUACGGCCCAGACUCCUACGGGAGGCAGCAGUGGGGAAUAUUGCACAAUGGGCGGAAGCCUGAUGCAGCAACGCCGCGUGCGGGAUGACGGCCUUCGGGUUGUAUACCGCUUUCGCCUGUGACGAAGCGUGAGUGACGGUAAUGGGUAAAGAAGCACCGGCUAACUACGUG
rnacentral:rRNA from 1 species